CAGACCAGUCGGCUGCUAUUUGGCCGACUGCUAAAGUAGAUUGGAAGAAGAGGCUGUAGAAGAACUGUGCAGGGAGAGCAAGGCUUGGAUUUCAUGGAAGGAGCCAGCAGCUGAUACCAGUUUGUUAUCCUGUCUCCAUAGUACCCAGAUAUGCAUUUGAAGAAGAUCCCCCUUGAUUCUACAUGGCAUCACAGCUCAGUCACGCUCACAGUGUGUGUCACAAGACCCAUGGGUCUGAAGAAACAGCCGCACACAGCCAAAAACCAAAAUGUCGCAGGCUGCUGGGCAAAGAAAGGUCGACCUACAGCGGACGACAGGGAGAGAGCAUUGUUGGCAGCCACCUCCAAACAGCCUUGCUGAUCAUCAGUAAAUGAGAGGGAUGAAAGUAAACAGCAAAUAAAGAAAUAUAUAACAAGAUUAGAGAACCAUCACAGAAGAAAGGAAGACACUUAAUAUUCUAGGACCUUAAAUGGCAAUUUUUUCUUGAUUUUUGAACAAGGGGUCCUGUAUUUUCAUUUUACACUGGGCCUCACAAAUUAUGUAGCCAAACUGGAGCCUAGAAGACUUCCUAUGUCUCCCUGGCCACAGUGGUCAUUGGCAAGAAAAAUGGGUUUACUAUGAUCAGUGAGAGAAUG
ensembl:lncRNA